rnacentral:rRNA from 1 species
UAAGCAUAUCAAUAAGCGGAGGAAAAGAAACUAACAAGGAUUCCCCUAGUAACUGCGAGUGAAGCGGGAAAAGCUCAAAUUUAAAAUCUGGCAGUCUCUGGCUGUCCGAGUUGUAAUCUAGAGAAGUAAUGCCCGUGCUGGACCGUGUAUAAGUCUCCUGGGAUGGGGCGUCAUAGAGGGUGAGAAUCCCGUCUUUGACACGGACUACCAGUGCAUUGUGGUAUGCUCUCAAAGAGUCGAGUUGUUUGGGAAUGCAGCUCAAAAUGGGUGGUAAAUUCCAUCUAAAGCUAAAUAUUGGCGAGAGACCGAUAGCGAACAAGUACCGUGAGGGAAAGAUGAAAAGAACUUUGGAAAGAGAGUUAAACAGUACGUGAAAUUGCUGAAAGGGAAACGCUUGAAGUCAGUCGCGUUGGCCGGGAAUCAGCCUUGCUUCUGCAUGGUGUACUUUCUGGUUGACGGGUCAGCAUCAAUUUUGACCGCUGGAAAAAGGCCUGGGGAAUGUGGCAGCUUCGGCUGUGUUAUAGCCCCUAGUUGCAUACAGUGGUUGGGAUUGAGGAACUCAGCACGCCGCAAGGCCGGGUUUCGACCACGUUCGUGCUUAGGAUGCUGGCAUAAUGGCUUUAAGCGACCCGUCUUGAAACACGGACCAAGGAGUCUAACAUGCCUGCGAGUAUUUGGGUGGAAAACUCAAGUGCGUAAUGAAAGUGAAAGUUGAGAUCCCUGUCGUGGGGAGCAUCGACGCCCGGACCAGAACUUUUGGGACGGAUCCGCGGUGGAGCAUGUAUGUUGGGACCCGAAAGAUGGUGAACUAUGCCUGAAUAGGGUGAAGCCAGAGGAAACUCUGGUGGAGGCUCGUAGCGAUUCUGACGUGCAAAUCGAUCGUCAAAUUUGGGUAUAGGGGCGAAAGACUAAUCGAACCAUCUAGUAGCUGGUUCCUGCCGAAUUCCCC